UGAAGGCCGACUUGUGUUUGUGUGGUGGUCCUCAGAAAUGUUGUAACUAUCACAAGUGGGCCUUAAGUUACAAUAGGUUGAGAACCGCUAGAC